GCAGCUGAGGCGGGAGAGGCCGGAGCGAACGCCCGGCCGCCGUAGGGGCAAUUCCUCCCCGGGACACUCUCAGGCGCCAGCACCGUCACAGCGAG
rnacentral:ncRNA from 1 species